GCAUCGAUAGCUCAGUGGCAGAGCGGUGGGGCGUUUACCCAUGCGGCCCGGGUUCGAUUCCCGGGCGAUGAU